rnacentral:RNase_P_RNA from 1 species
UCAGUCGGCCAGGCGGCCGCACCGUCCAGCGCCGAAAGGCGGGCGGUGAGGAAAGUCCGGGCUCCACGGAAACACGGUGCCGGGUAACACCCGGCGGGGGCGACCCCAGGGACAGUGCCACAGAAAGCAGACCGCCCGACCGAUCUUCGCUUCGGCGAAAGCCUUCGUUCGGGUAAGGGUGAAAGGGUGUGGCAAGAGCACACCGCGCGACCGGCAACGGAAGCGGCAUGGUAAACCCCACCGGGAGCAAAACCGAAUAGGGAUGGCGCGGCGCUUCGGCACCAGGGCGUUUCCGCUCUUGUCAUCCGGGUUGGUUGCUUGAGGCCGUUCGCAAGGACGGUCCCAGAUGAAUGGUCGCUGCAAUGUCAUCGCCAGAUGGCGGCGUACAGAACCCGGCUUAACGGCCGACUGACACC